GUUCCCCGCCCCGCUGUGGGGAGGGGCAGAGCCCCGUGGGCGGGGGUGCGGGCGGCCGCCCCCGCGCUGCUCUCCCUCAGCGGCUGGGGCUCCUCUGCCAGCCCUCCAGGCAGAGCACGAAGCGGGGGGGCGGCUACACAGGCACAUAUGGACACGCGUGCACCGCUGUAUGGUGUCAAAGCCCCACAGCCCAGCAGGGGCUGGGGCGGUGGGAGCCAGGGCAGAAGGGAAAUCCUCUGAGGCACGGGCGGUCCGUUAACGCCUCACGCGCCCUUACAACGUCUCCUUAUCCCCAACAGCAGCGCUGCGUUGGGAGAUCCCAUGAAGCGCUCAGACACCCUCCGGCACUCGGCUCGAGUAAAAAGCCCGGAGCCCCCGGAGCCAUCUGACUGCAGGAUGGCGAGAAGCAGCUGAUCCCGCUCCUGCCGGAGGGACUCGGAUGAUGUUCUCUGGAGCCAGAAGAAGCUGGCUCGAGUGGGAGCCAGGCACGGCUGUUAGAGCUCCUGCAUCUGUGCCCGGACCAAGUGCCAGCAUGCUGCGGGCCGCGGGCAGGUGCUGGGGCCAGCGAGGGCUCUGUGGUGAGCCACACAGCGUGUCGCCUGUCAGAAAGCUGUGGGGAGGCUCUGCUCCUGCUGCAGAGAGCAGGAGGCUGCAGCUGCAGCACGCCUCUGUUGCUAAGGCACAUAAGGCACCCACGCUCGCCUCUGAGCUGAACAGCGCUCGCUGGGAAGCUCAUGCAGACAGGAGGCUUGCGCGAGAGGGUGCUGCUUUGAGGCAGGUGCUGCCUCCUGUACUCCUGAGAGGGGUUUCGCAAAUCCCCCCAAAAUAACUCUCCGUGCAUGCAGUUUCCCCGGUUUUCUGGAGGGAGCUGUGCUCUGCCUGCUGCUGCUGAGAAAGGUCAGCGAUGCCUCUCCGUGAUGUGAAUUUCAGGAAACUGGAUUAGGCAGCAUGAGGCGGUUCGGAGGCUCUGGAUUCCCACUGAGAGAAAUGUUAGGCUGUUCUGCUCUCCUUUCCAAGCUAGGUGUGCAAAGCAAACCCCACACACUCUAACAGCUUGCCACAGGAACAUCUCGAAAGCUAUGAAAAGCCAGCCCCACAUCUGACUUGCAGAGUGGGCCCAAGUGCUCCUACAGCAGUGGUUCAUGCAUUUUCAAAACUGUGCAUGAGUCCCUCAUUUACGACUUGCGAGGCACAGUUUUUCUCUUUAAAUUAGGCAGCUAUUUCAGUGCCAUUACUAGACACCGAUCUGCCAUUUUAUACUGGUUUACAGCUCUUCGGAGUGCCAUUGAUCAUCUGUUAUCUGUGUGCAGCAAGUGAAGCUGCUACAGGCAUGCAGCACACACACAAACCAGAGCACAGGAGGCAGCGACGGGCCUAGCUGGCAGGGAAAUUCUGAAGAGUGACAUAAAAGCCUGUGUGCCUAAAGCAAAGGGUAUCUGUGGAUAGAUUUGUCAAACUGGCUGUGAGAGCUGUCUCCCUCAGCAGUGGCCUGACCUCUGUGUUCAUGGGCUCGCUCGACGUACGUGCUGCCCUGUGUCACAACGCUCACAGAAACCAUCUGCAUCUGGAAAUCACAGCACUAUAGUAACACUAUAGGUAAUACUUUGUUCUCCCAGCACCGCAAAGCAGUCACAAAGGAAGAUGUUACCCCCCUUUUUUUUUUUGAUCUGCAAACCAAAGCAUGCUGAGGUUAAAUGAAGUGACUAAAGUCGCAUAAUCAGCCAGUGGCAGGGCUGA